rnacentral:rRNA from 1 species
GAUGAACGCUGGCGGCGUGCCUAAUACAUGCAAGUAGAACGCUGAAGGAAGGAGCUUGCUCUUUCCGGAUGAGUUGCGAACGGGUGAGUAACGCGUAGGUAACCUGCCUGGUAGCGGGGGAUAACUAUUGGAAACGAUAGCUAAUACCGCAUAACAGUAGAUGUUGCAUGAUAUCUACUUAAAAGGUGCAAUUGCACCACUACCAGAUGGACCUGCGUUGUAUUAGCUAGUUGGUGAGGUGACGGCUCACCAAGGCGACGAUACAUAGCCGACCUGAGAGGGUGAUCGGCCACACUGGGACUGAGACACGGCCCAGACUCCUACGGGAGGCAGCAGUAGGGAAUCUUCGGCAAUGGACGGAAGUCUGACCGAGCAACGCCGCGUGAGUGAAGAAGGUUUUCGGAUCGUAAAGCUCUGUUGUAAGAGAAGAACGAGUGUGAGAGUGGAAAGUUCACACUGUGACGGUAUCUUACCAGAAGGGGACGGCUAACUACGUG